rnacentral:lncRNA from 1 species
AAGGUGUUUUUGAUGCUUUCUUAACGCCGUUAACCUCGAUGCACUUUUUCGCUCGAAACAAAACGGCAAGAAAAUCAUGCGCGCCCCACGGCCUUACACUUGGAUUGGCCGCGAAAAGGAUAUAUAGAAACGAGAGUGAUGUACUGUCGGGUGCGAUCAUACCAGCACUAAUGCACCGGAUCCCAUCAGAACUCCGCAGUUAAGCGUGCUUGGGCGAGAGUAGUACUAGGAUGGGUGACCUCCCGGGAAGUCCUCGUGUUGCACCCCUUUUAUUUUACCAGCACUUAAUUUUUUUUAGCCUAAAACGAGUCUAAACUUGAAAACCCCAUAACUUUUGAACCGUGAGGAACUACGUCGCCCAUAGCACCAUUUCGGAAAGCCCCAGAAACCAUAAUGGCGGUGAAUAGGGGGCGCAAUUUUUCGGGCUCAAAUUCAGCCGUUUUGACCCUCAAACGGGCUGCGGAAAGUUAUGGCACGUAAAAAAGAUCGAAAGCGGAUUCUCAAGGUGUUUUUGAUGCUUUCUUAACGCCGUUAACCUCGAUGCACUUUUUCGCUCGAAACAAAACGGCAAAAAAAUCAUGUGGGCCCCACGGCCUUACACUUGGAUUGGCCGCGAAAAGGAUAUAUAGAAACGAGAGUGAUGUACUGACGGGUGCGAUCAUACCAGCACUAAUGCACCGGAUCCCAUCAGAACUCCGCAGUGAAGCGUGCUUGGGCGAGAGUAGUACUAGGAUGGGUGACCUCCCGGGAAGUCCUCGUGUUGCACCCCUUUUUAUUUUAUAAUUUUUUUUUAGCCUAAAACGAGUCUAAACUUGAAAACCUCAUAACUUUUGAACCGUGAGGAACUACGUCGCCCAUAGCACCAUUUCGGAAAGCCCCAGAAACCAUAAUGGGCGGUGAAUAGGGGGCGCAAUUUUUCGGGCUCAAAUUCAGCCGUUUUGACCCUCAAACGGGCUGCGGAAAGUUAUGGCACGUAAAAAAGAUCGAAAGCGGAUUCUCAAGGUGUUUUUGAUGCUUUCUUAACGCCGUUAACCUCGAUGCACUUUUUCGCUCGAAACAAAACGGCAAGAAAAUCAUGUGGGCCCCACGGCCUUACACUUGGAUUGGCCGCGAAAAGGAUAUAUAGAAACGAGAGUGAUGUACUGACGGGUGCGAUCAUACCAGCACUAAUGCACCGGAUCCCAUCAGAACUCCGCAGCUAAGCGUGCUUGGGCGAGAGUAGUACUAGGAUGGGUGACCUCCCGGGAAGUCCUCGUGUUGCACCCCUUUUAUUUUUUAAUUUUUUUUAGCCUAAAACGAGUCUAAACUUGAAAACCCCAUAACUUUUGAACCGUGAGAAACUACGUCGCCCAUAGCACCAUUUCGGAAAGCCCCAGAAACCAUAAUGGGCGGUGAAUAGGGGGCGCAAUUUUUCGGGCUCAAAUUCAGCCGUUUUGACCCUCAAACGGGCUGCGGAAAGUUAUGGCACGUAAAAAAGAUCGAAAGCGGAUUCUCAAGGUGUUUUGAUGCUUUCUUAACGCCGUUAACCUCGAUGCACUUUUUCGCUCGAAACAAAACGGCAAGAAAAUCAUGCGCGGCCCCACGGCCUUACACUUGGAUUGGCCGCGAAAAGGAUAUAUAGAAACGAGAGUGAUGUACUGACGGGUGCGAUCAUACCAGCACUAAUGCACCGGAUCCCAUCAGAACUCCGCAGUUAAGCGUGCUUGGGCGAGAGUAGUACUAGGAUGGGUGACCUCCCGGGAAGUCCUCGUGUUGCACCCCUUUUUAUUUUUAAUUUUUUUUUAGCCUAAAACGAGUCUAAACUUGAAAACCUCAUAACUUUUGAACCGUGAGGAACUACGUCGCCCAUAGCACCAUUUCGGAAAGCCCCAGAAACCAUAAUGGGCGGUGAAUAGGGGGCGCAAUUUUUCGGGCUCAAAUUCAGCCGUUUUGACCCUCAAACGGGCUGCGGAAAGUUAUGGCACGUAAAAAAGAUCGAAAGCGGAUUCUCAAGGUGUUUUUGAUGCUUUCUUAACGCCGUUAACCUCGAUGCACUUUUUCGCUCGAAACAAAACGGCAAGAAAAUCAUGCGCGCCCCACGGCCUUACACUUGGAUUGGCCGCGAAAAGGAUAUAUAGAAACGAGAGUGAUGUACUGACGGGUGCGAUCAUACCAGCACUAAUGCACCGGAUCCCAUCAGAACUCCGCAGUUAAGCGUGCUUGGGCGAGAGUAGUACUAGGAUGGGUGACCUCCCGGGAAGUCCUCGUGUUGCACCCCUUUUAUUUUUAAUUUUUUUUUAGCCUAAAACGAGUCUAAACUUGAAAACCUCAUAACUUUUGAACCGUGAGGAACUACGUCGCCCAUAGCACCAUUUCGGAAAGCCCCAGAAACCAUAAUGGGCGGUGAAUAGGGGGCGCAAUUUUUCGGGCUCAAAUUCAGCCGUUUUGACCCUCAAACGGGCUGCGGAAAGUUAUGGCACGUAAAAAAGAUCGAAAGCGGAUUCUCAAGGUGUUUUUGAUGCUUUCUUAACGCCGUUAACCUCGAUGCACUUUUUCGCUCGAAACAAAACGGCAAGAAAAUCAUGUGCGGCCCACGGCCUUACACUUGGAUUGGCCGCGAAAAGGAUAUAUAGAAACGAGAGUGAUGUACUGACGGGUGCGAUCAUACCAGCACUAAUGCACCGGAUCCCAUCAGAACUCCGCAGUGAAGCGUGCUUGGGCGAGAGUAGUACUAGGAUGGGUGACCUCCCGGGAAGUCCUCGUGUUGCACCCCUUUUUAUUUUUAUUUUUUUUUUAGCCUAAAACGAGUCUAAACUUGAAAACCUCAUAACUUUUGAACCGUGAGGAACUACGUCGCCCAUAGCACCAUUUCGGAAAGCCCCAGAAACCAUAAUGGGCGGUGAAUAGGGGGCGCAAUUUUUCGGGCUCAAAUUCAGCCGUUUUGACCCUCAAACGGGCUGCGGAAAGUUAUGGCACGUAAAAAAGAUCGAAAGCGGAUUCUCAAGGUGUUUUUGAUGCUUUCUUAACGCCGUUAACCUCGAUGCACUUUUUCGCUCGAAACAAAACGGCAAGAAAAUCAUGUGGGCCCCACGGCCUUACACUUGGAUUGGCCGGGGAAAGGAUAUAUAGAAACGAGAGUGAUGUACUGACGGGUGCGAUCAUACCAGCACUAAUGCACCGGAUCCCAUCAGAACUCCGCAGUGAAGCGUGCUUGGGCGAGAGUAGUACUAGGAUGGGUGACCUCCCGGGAAGUCCUCGUGUUGCACCCCUUUUUAUUUUAUAAUUUUUUUUUAGCCUAAAACGAGUCUAAACUUGAAAACCUCAUAACUUUUGAACCGUGAGGAACUACGUCGCCCAUAGCACCAUUGAGAAAGCCCCAGAAACCAUAAUGGGCGGUGAAUAGGGGGCGCAAUUUUUCGGGCUCAAAUUCAGCCGUUUUGACCCUCAAACGGGCUGCGGAAAGUUAUGGCACGUAAAAAAGAUCGAAAGCGGAUUCUCAAGGUGUUUUUGAUGCUUUCUUAACGCCGUUAACCUCGAUGCACUUUUUCGCUCGAAACAAAACGGCAAGAAAAUCAUGCGCGCCCCACGGCCUUACACUUGGAUUGGCCGCGAAAAGGAUAUAUAGAAACGAGAGUGAUGUACUGACGGGUGCGAUCAUACCAGCACUAAUGCACCGGAUCCCAUCAGAACUCCGCAGUUAAGCGUGCUUGGGCGAGAGUAGUAGUACUAGGAUGGGUGACCUCCCGGGAAGUCCUCGUGUUGCACCCCUUUUUAUUUUUUAAUUUUUUUUUAGCCUAAAACGAGUCUAAACUUGAAAACCUCAUAACUUUUGAACCGUGAGGAACUACGUCGCCCAUAGCACCAUUUCGGAAAGCCCCAGAAACCAUAAUGGGCGGUGAAUAGGGGGCGCAAUUUUUCGGGCUCAAAUUCAGCCGUUUUGACCCUCAAACGGGCUGCGGAAAGUUAUGGCACGUAAAAAAGAUCGAAAGCGGAUUCUCAAGGUGUUUUUGAUGCUUUCUUAACGCCGUUAACCUCGAUGCACUUUUUCGCUCGAAACAAAACGGCAAGAAAAUCAUGCGCGCCCACGGCCUUACACUUGGAUUGGCCGCGAAAAGGAUAUAUAGAAACGAGAGUGAUGUACUGACGGGUGCGAUCAUACCAGCACUAAUGCACCGGAUCCCAUCAGAACUCCGCAGCUAAGCGUGCUUGGGCGAGAGUAGUACUAGGAUGGGUGACCUCCCGGGAAGUCCUCGUGUUGCACCCCUUUUAUUUUUUAAUUUUUUUUUAGCCUAAAACGAGUCUAAACUUGAAAACCCCAUAACUUUUGAACCGUGAGGAACUACGUCGCCCAUAGCACCAUUUCGGAAAGCCCCAGAAACCAUAAUGGGCGGUGAAUAGGGGGCGCAAUUUUUCGGGCUCAAAUUCAGCCGUUUUGACCCUCAAACGGGCUGCGGAAAGUUAUGGCACGUAAAAAAGAUCGAAAGCGGAUUCUCAAGGUGUUUUUGAUGCUUUCUUAACGCCGUUAACCUCGAUGCACUUUUUCGCUCGAAACAAAACGGCAAGAAAAUCAUGCGCGCCCCACGGCCUUACACUUGGAUUGGCCGCGAAAAGGAUAUAUAGAAACGAGAGUGAUGUACUGACGGGUGCGAUCAUACCAGCACUAAUGCACCGGAUCCCAUCAGAACUCCGCAGUUAAGCGUGCUUGGGCGAGAGUAGUACUAGGAUGGGUGACCUCCCGGGAAGUCCUCGUGUUGCACCCCUUUUUAUUUUUUAAUUUUUUUUUAGCCUAAAACGAGUCUAAACUUGAAAACCUCAUAACUUUUGAACCGUGAGGAACUACGUCGCCCAUAGCACCAUUUCGGAGAGCCCCAGAAACCAUAAUGGGCGGUGAAUAGGGGGGGCGCAAUUUUUCGGGCUCAAAUUCAGCCGUUUUGACCCUCAAACGGGCUGCGGAAAGUUAUGGCACGUAAAAAAGAUCGAAAGCGGAUUCUCAAGGUGUUUUUGAUGCUUUCUUAACGCCGUUAACCUCGAUGCACUUUUUCGCUCGAAACAAAACGGCAAGAAAAUCAUGCGCGCCCCACGGCCUUACACUUGGAUUGGCCGCGAAAAGGAUAUAUAGAAACGAGAGUGAUGUACUGACGGGUGCGAUCAUACCAGCACUAAUGCACCGGAUCCCAUCAGAACUCCGCAGUUAAGCGUGCUUGGGCGAGAGUAGUACUAGGAUGGGUGACCUCCCGGGAAGUCCUCGUGUUGCACCCCUUUUUAUUUUUAAUUUUUUUUUAGCCUAAAACGAGUCUAAACUUGAAAACCUCAUAACUUUUGAACCGUGAGGAACUACGUCGCCCAUAGCACCAUUUCGGAGAGCCCCAGAAACCAUAAUGGGCGGUGAAUAGGGGGCGCAAUUUUUCGGGCUCAAAUUCAGCCGUUUUGACCCUCAAACGGGCUGCGGAAAGUUAUGGCACGUAAAAAAGAUCGAAAGCGGAUUCUCAAGGUGUUUUUGAUGCUUUCUUAACGCCGUUAACCUCGAUGCACUUUUUCGCUCGAAACAAAACGGCAAGAAAAUCAUGCGCGCCCCACGGCCUUACACUUGGAUUGGCCGCGAAAAGGAUAUAUAGAAACGAGAGUGAUGUACUGACGGGUGCGAUCAUACCAGCACUAAUGCACCGGAUCCCAUCAGAACUCCGCAGUUAAGCGUGCUUGGGCGAGAGUAGUACUAGGAUGGGUGACCUCCCGGGAAGUCCUCGUGUUGCACCCCUUUUUAUUUUUUAAUUUUUUUUAGCCUAAAACGAGUCUAAACUUGAAAACCUCAUAACUUUUGAACCGUGAGGAACUACGUCGCCCAUAGCACCAUUUCGGAGAGCCCCAGAAACCAUAAUGGGCGGUGAAUAGGGGGCGCAAUUUUUCGGGCUCAAAUUCAGCCGUUUUGACCCUCAAACGGGCUGCGGAAAGUUAUGGCACGUAAAAAAGAUCGAAAGCGGAUUCUCAAGGUGUUUUUGAUGCUUUCUUAACGCCGUUAACCUCGAUGCACUUUUUCGCUCGAAACAAAACGGCAAGAAAAUCAUGCGCGCCCCACGGCCUUACACUUGGAUUGGCCGCGAAAAGGAUAUAUAGAAACGAGAGUGAUGUACUGACGGGUGCGAUCAUACCAGCACUAAUGCACCGGAUCCCAUCAGAACUCCGCAGUUAAGCGUGCUUGGGCGAGAGUAGUACUAGGAUGGGUGACCUCCGGGAAGUCCUCGUGUUGCACCCCUUUUUAUUUUUUAAUUUUUUUUAGCCUAAAACGAGUCUAAACUUGAAAACCUCAUAACUUUUGAACCGUGAGGAACUACGUCGCCCAUAGCACCAUUUCGGAGAGCCCCAGAAACCAUAAUGGGCGGUGAAUAGGGGGCGCAAUUUUUCGGGCUCAAAUUCAGCCGUUUUGACCCUCAAACGGGCUGCGGAAAGUUAUGGCACGUAAAAAAGAUCGAAAGCGGAUUCUCAAGGUGUUUUUGAUGCUUUCUUAACGCCGUUAACCUCGAUGCACUUUUUCGCUCGAAACAAAACGGCAAGAAAAUCAUGCGCGCCCCACGGCCUUACACUUGGAUUGGCCGCGAAAAGGAUAUAUAGAAACGAGAGUGAUGUACUGACGGGUGCGAUCAUACCAGCACUAAUGCACCGGAUCCCAUCAGAACUCCGCAGUUAAGCGUGCUUGGGCGAGAGUAGUACUAGGAUGGGUGACCUCCCGGGAAGUCCUCGUGUUGCACCCCUUUUUAUUUUUUAAUUUUUUUUUGCCUAAAACGAGUCUAAACUUGAAAACCUCAUAACUUUUGAACCGUGAGGAACUACGUCGCCCAUAGCACCAUUUCGGAGAGCCCCAGAAACCAUAAUGGGCGGUGAAUAGGGGGCGCAAUUUUUCGGGCUCAAAUUCAGCCGUUUUGACCCUCAAACGGGCUGCGGAAAGUUAUGGCACGUAAAAAAGAUCGAAAGCGGAUUCUCAAGGUGUUUUUGAUGCUUUCUUAACGCCGUUAACCUCGAUGCACUUUUUCGCUCGAAACAAAACGGCAAGAAAAUCAUGCGCGCCCCACGGCCUUACACUUGGAUUGGCCGCGAAAAGGAUAUAUAGAAACGAGAGUGAUGUACUGACGGGUGCGAUCAUACCAGCACUAAUGCACCGGAUCCCAUCAGAACUCCGCAGUUAAGCGUGCUUGGGCGAGAGUAGUACUAGGAUGGGUGACCUCCCGGGAAGUCCUCGUGUUGCACCCCUUUUUAUUUUUUAAUUUUUUUUUAGCCUAAAACGAGUCUAAACUUGAAAACCUCAUAACUUUUGAACCGUGAGGAACUACGUCGCCCAUAGCACCAUUUCGGAAAGCCCCAGAAACCAUAAUGGGCGGUGAAUAGGGGGCGCAAUUUUUCGGGCUCAAAUUCAGCCCGUUUUGACCCUCAAACGGGCUGCGGAAAGUUAUGGCACGUAAAAAAGAUCGAAAGCGGAUUCUCAAGGUGUUUUUGAUGCUUUCUUAACGCCGUUAACCUCGAUGCACUUUUUCGCUCGAAACAAAACGGCAAGAAAAUCAUGCGCGCCCCACGGCCUUACACUUGGAUUGGCCGCGAAAAGGAUAUAUAGAAACGAGAGUGAUGUACUGACGGGUGCGAUCAUACCAGCACUAAUGCACCGGAUCCCAUCAGAACUCCGCAGUUAAGCGUGCUUGGGCGAGAGUAGUACUAGGAUGGGUGACCUCCCGGGAAGUCCUCGUGUUGCACCCCUUUUUAUUUUUUAAUUUUUUUUAGCCUAAAACGAGUCUAAACUUGAAAACCUCAUAACUUUUGAACCGUGAGGAACUACGUCGCCCAUAGCACCAUUUCGGAGCCCCAGAAACCAUAAUGGGCGGGUGAAUAGGGGGCGCAAUUUUUCGGGCUCAAAUUCAGCCGUUUUGACCCUCAAACGGGCUGCGGAAAGUUAUGGCACGUAAAAAAGAUCGAAAGCGGAUUCUCAAGGUGUUUUUGAUGCUUUCUUAACGCCGUUAACCUCGAUGCACUUUUUCGCUCGAAACAAAACGGCAAGAAAAUCAUGCGCGCCCCACGGCCUUACACUUGGAUUGGCCGCGAAAAGGAUAUAUAGAAACGAGAGUGAUGUACUGACGGGUGCGAUCAUACCAGCACUAAUGCACCGGAUCCCAUCAGAACUCCGCAGUUAAGCGUGCUUGGGCGAGAGUAGUACUAGGAUGGGUGACCUCCCGGGAAGUCCUCGUGUUGCACCCCUUUUUAUUUUUUAAUUUUUUUUUAGCCUAAAACGAGUCUAAACUUGAAAACCUCAUAACUUUUGAACCGUGAGGAACUACGUCGCCCAUAGCACCAUUUCGGAGAGCCCCAGAAACCAUAAUGGGCGGUGAAUAGGGGGCGCAAUUUUUCGGGCUCAAAUUCAGCCGUUUUGACCCUCAAACGGGCUGCGGAAAGUUAUGGCACGUAAAAAAGAUCGAAAGCGGAUUCUCAAGGUGUUUUUGAUGCUUUCUUAACGCCGUUAACCUCGAUGCACUUUUUCGCUCGAAACAAAACGGCAAGAAAAUCAUGCGCGCCCCACGGCCUUACACUUGGAUUGGCCGCGAAAAGGAUAUAUAGAAACGAGAGUGAUGUACUGACGGGUGCGAUCAUACCAGCACUAAUGCACCGGAUCCCAUCAGAACUCCGCAGUUAAGCGUGCUUGGGCGAGAGUAGUACUAGGAUGGGUGACCUCCCGGGAAGUCCUCGUGUUGCACCCCUUUUUAUUUUUUAAUUUUUUUUUAGCCUAAAACGAGUCUAAACUUGAAAACCUCAUAACUUUUGAACCGUGAGGAACUACGUCGCCCAUAGCACCAUUUCGGAGAGCCCCAGAAACCAUAAUGGGCGGUGAAUAGGGGGCGCAAUUUUUCGGGCUCAAAUUCAGCCGUUUUGACCCUCAAACGGGCUGCGGAAAGUUAUGGCACGUAAAAAAGAUCGAAAGCGGAUUCUCAAGGUGUUUUUGAUGCUUUCUUAACGCCGUUAACCUCGAUGCACUUUUUCGCUCGAAACAAAACGGCAAGAAAAUCAUGCGCGCCCCACGGCCUUACACUUGGAUUGGCCGCGAAAAGGAUAUAUAGAAACGAGAGUGAUGUACUGACGGGUGCGAUCAUACCAGCACUAAUGCACCGGAUCCCAUCAGAACUCCGCAGUUAAGCGUGCUUGGGCGAGAGUAGUACUAGGAUGGGUGACCUCCCGGGAAGUCCUCGUGUUGCACCCCUUUUUUAUUUUUUAAUUUUUUUUAGCCUAAAACGAGUCUAAACUUGAAAACCUCAUAACUUUUGAACCGUGAGGAACUACGUCGCCCAUAGCACCAUUUCGGAAAGCCCCAGAAACCAUAAUGGGCGGUGAAUAGGGGGCGCAAUUUUUCGGGCUCAAAUUCAGCCGUUUUGACCCUCAAACGGGCUGCGGAAAGUUAUGGCACGUAAAAAAGAUCGAAAGCGGAUUCUCAAGGUGUUUUUGAUGCUUUCUUAACGCCGUUAACCUCGAUGCACUUUUUCGCUCGAAACAAAACGGCAAGAAAAUCAUGCGCGCCCCACGGCCUUACACUUGGAUUGGCCGCGAAAAGGAUAUAUAGAAACGAGAGUGAUGUACUGACGGGUGCGAUCAUACCAGCACUAAUGCACCGGAUCCCAUCAGAACUCCGCAGUUAAGCGUGCUUGGGCGAGAGUAGUACUAGGAUGGGUGACCUCCCGGGAAGUCCUCGUGUUGCACCCCUUUUUUUUUUUAAUUUUUUUUUAGCCUAAAACGAGUCUAAACUUGAAAACCUCAUAACUUUUGAACCGUGAGGAACUACGUCGCCCAUAGCACCAUUUCGGAGAGCCCCAGAAACCAUAAUGGGCGGUGAAUAGGGGGCGCAAUUUUUCGGGCUCAAAUUCAGCCGUUUUGACCCUCAAACGGGCUGCGGAAAGUUAUGGCACGUAAAAAAGAUCGAAAGCGGAUUCUCAAGGUGUUUUGAUGCUUUCUUAACGCCGUUAACCUCGAUGCACUUUUUCGCUCGAAACAAAACGGCAAGAAAAUCAUGUGGGCCCCACGGCCUUACACUUGGAUUGGCCGCGAAAAGGAUAUAUAGAAACGAGAGUGAUGUACUGACGGGUGCGAUCAUACCAGCACUAAUGCACCGGAUCCCAUCAGAACUCCGCAGUUAAGCGUGCUUGGGCGAGAGUAGUACUAGGAUGGGUGACCUCCCGGGAAGUCCUCGUGUUGCACCCCUUUUUAUUUUUUAAUUUUUUUUUAGCCUAAAACGAGUCUAAACUUGAAAACCUCAUAACUUUUGAACCGUGAGGAACUACGUCGCCCAUAGCACCAUUUCGGAGAGCCCCAGAAACCAUAAUGGGGCGGUGAAUAGGGGGCGCAAUUUUUCGGGCUCAAAUUCAGCCGUUUUGACCCUCAAACGGGCUGCGGAAAGUUAUGGCACGUAAAAAAGAUCGAAAGCGGAUUCUCAAGGUGUUUUUGAUGCUUUCUUAACGCCGUUAACCUCGAUGCACUUUUUCGCUCGAAACAAAACGGCAAGAAAAUCAUGCGCGCCCCACGGCCUUACACUUGGAUUGGCCGCGAAAAGGAUAUAUAGAAACGAGAGUGAUGUACUGACGGGUGCGAUCAUACCAGCACUAAUGCACCGGAUCCCAUCAGAACUCCGCAGUUAAGCGUGCUUGGGCGAGAGUAGUACUAGGAUGGGUGACCUCCCGGGAAGUCCUCGUGUUGCACCCCUUUUUAUUUUUUAUUUUUUUUUUAGCCUAAAACGAGUCUAAACUUGAAAACCUCAUAACUUUUGAACCGUGAGGAACUACGUCGCCCAUAGCACCAUUUCGGAAGAGCCCCAGAAACCAUAAUGGGCGGUGAAUAGGGGGCGCAAUUUUUCGGGCUCAAAUUCAGCCGUUUUGACCCUCAAACGGGCUGCGGAAAGUUAUGGCACGUAAAAAAGAUCGAAAGCGGAUUCUCAAGGUGUUUUUGAUGCUUUCUUAACGCCGUUAACCUCGAUGCACUUUUUCGCUCGAAACAAAACGGCAAGAAAAUCAUGCGCGCCCCACGGCCUUACACUUGGAUUGGCCGCGAAAAGGAUAUAUAGAAACGAGAGUGAUGUACUGACGGGUGCGAUCAUACCAGCACUAAUGCACCGGAUCCCAUCAGAACUCCGCAGCUAAGCGUGCUUGGGCGAGAGUAGUACUAGGAUGGGUGACCUCCCGGGAAGUCCUCGUGUUGCACCCCUUUUUAUUUUUUAAUUUUUUUUUUUGCCUAAAACGAGUCUAAACUUGAAAACCUCAUAACUUUUGAACCGUGAGGAACUACGUCGCCCAUAGCACCAUUUCGGAGAGCCCCAGAAACCAUAAUGGGCGGUGAAUAGGGGGCGCAAUUUUUCGGGCUCAAAUUCAGCCGUUUUGACCCUCAAACGGGCUGCGGAAAGUUAUGGCACGUAAAAAAGAUCGAAAGCGGAUUCUCAAGGUGUUUUUGAUGCUUUCUUAACGCCGUUAACCUCGAUGCACUUUUUCGCUCGAAACAAAACGGCAAGAAAAUCAUGCGCGCCCCACGGCCUUACACUUGGAUUGGCCGCGAAAAGGAUAUAUAGAAACGAGAGUGAUGUACUGACGGGUGCGAUCAUACCAGCACUAAUGCACCGGAUCCCAUCAGAACUCCGCAGUUAAGCGUGCUUGGGCGAGAGUAGUACUAGGAUGGGUGACCUCCCGGGAAGUCCUCGUGUUGCACCCCUUUUUAUUUUUUAAUUUUUUUUUAGCCUAAAACGAGUCUAAACUUGAAAACCUCAUAACUUUUGAACCGUGAGGAACUACGUCGCCCAUAGCACCAUUUCGGAGAGCCCCAGAAACCAUAAUGGGCGGUGAAUAGGGGGCGCAAUUUUUCGGGCUCAAAUUCAGCCGUUUUGACCCUCAAACGGGCUGCGGAAAGUUAUGGCACGUAAAAAAGAUCGAAAGCGGAUUCUCAAGGUGUUUUUGAUGCUUUCUUAACGCCGUUAACCUCGAUGCACUUUUUCGCUCGAAACAAAACGGCAAGAAAAUCAUGCGCGCCCCACGGCCUUACACUUGGAUUGGCCGCGAAAAGGAUAUAUAGAAACGAGAGUGAUGUACUGACGGGUGCGAUCAUACCAGCACUAAUGCACCGGAUCCCAUCAGAACUCCGCAGUUAAGCGUGCUUGGGCGAGAGUAGUACUAGGAUGGGUGACCUCCCGGGAAGUCCUCGUGUUGCACCCCUUUUUAUUUUUUAAUUUUUUUUAGCCUAAAACGAGUCUAAACUUGAAAACCUCAUAACUUUUGAACCGUGAGGAACUACGUCGCCCAUAGCACCAUUUCGGAGAGCCCCAGAAACCAUAAUGGGCGGUGAAUAGGGGGCGCAAUUUUUCGGGCUCAAAUUCAGCCGUUUUGACCCUCAAACGGGCUGCGGAAAGUUAUGGCACGUAAAAAAGAUCGAAAGCGGAUUCUCAAGGUGUUUUUGAUGCUUUCUUAACGCCGUUAACCUCGAUGCACUUUUUCGCUCGAAACAAAACGGCAAGAAAAUCAUGCGCGCCCACGGCCUUACACUUGGAUUGGCCGCGAAAAGGAUAUAUAGAAACGAGAGUGAUGUACUGACGGGUGCGAUCAUACCAGCACUAAUGCACCGGAUCCCAUCAGAACUCCGCAGUAAGCGUGCUUGGGCGAGAGUAGUACUAGGAUGGGUGACCUCCCGGGAAGUCCUCGUGUUGCACCCCUUUUUAUUUUUUAAUUUUUUUUUAGCCUAAAACGAGUCUAAACUUGAAAACCUCAUAACUUUUGAACCGUGAGGAACUACGUCGCCCAUAGCACCAUUUCGGAGAGCCCCAGAAACCAUAAUGGGCGGUGAAUAGGGGGCGCAAUUUUUCGGGCUCAAAUUCAGCCGUUUUGACCCUCAAACGGGCUGCGGAAAGUUAUGGCACGUAAAAAAGAUCGAAAGCGGAUUCUCAAGGUGUUUUUGAUGCUUUCUUAACGCCGUUAACCUCGAUGCACUUUUUCGCUCGAAACAAAACGGCAAGAAAAUCAUGCGCGCCCCACGGCCUUACACUUGGAUUGGCCGCGAAAAGGAUAUAUAGAAACGAGAGUGAUGUACUGACGGGUGCGAUCAUACCAGCACUAAUGCACCGGAUCCCAUCAGAACUCCGCAGUUAAGCGUGCUUGGGCGAGAGUAGUACUAGGAUGGGUGACCUCCCGGGAAGUCCUCGUGUUGCACCCCUUUUUAUUUUUAAUUUUUUUUUAGCCUAAAACGAGUCUAAACUUGAAAACCUCAUAACUUUUGAACCGUGAGGAACUACGUCGCCCAUAGCACCAUUUCGGAAAGCCCCAGAAACCAUAAUGGGCGGUGAAUAGGGGGCGCAAUUUUUCGGGCUCAAAUUCAGCCGUUUUGACCCUCAAACGGGCUGCGGAAAGUUAUGGCACGUAAAAAAGAUCGAAAGCGGAUUCUCAAGGUGUUUUUGAUGCUUUCUUAACGCCGUUAACCUCGAUGCACUUUUUCGCUCGAAACAAAACGGCAAGAAAAUCAUGCGCGCCCCACGGCCUUACACUUGGAUUGGCCGCGAAAAGGAUAUAUAGAAACGAGAGUGAUGUACUGACGGGUGCGAUCAUACCAGCACUAAUGCACCGGAUCCCAUCAGAACUCCGCAGUUAAGCGUGCUUGGCGCGAGAGUAGUACUAGGAUGGGUGACCUCCCGGGAAGUCCUCGUGUUGCACCCCUUUUUAUUUUUUAAUUUUUUUUUGCCUAAAACGAGUCUAAACUUGAAAACCUCAUAACUUUUGAACCGUGAGGAACUACGUCGCCCAUAGCACCAUUUCGGAGAGCCCCAGAAACCAUAAUGGGCGGUGAAUAGGGGGCGCAAUUUUUCGGGCUCAAAUUCAGCCGUUUUGACCCUCAAACGGGCUGCGGAAAGUUAUGGCACGUAAAAAAGAUCGAAAGCGGAUUCUCAAGGUGUUUUUGAUGCUUUCUUAACGCCGUUAACCUCGAUGCACUUUUUCGCUCGAAACAAAACGGCAAGAAAAUCAUGCGCGCCCACGGCCUUACACUUGGAUUGGCCGCGAAAAGGAUAUAUAGAAACGAGAGUGAUGUACUGACGGGUGCGAUCAUACCAGCACUAAUGCACCGGAUCCCAUCAGAACUCCGCAGUUAAGCGUGCUUGGGCGAGAGUAGUACUAGGAUGGGUGACCUCCCGGGAAGUCCUCGUGUUGCACCCCUUUUAUUUUUUAAUUUUUUUUUGCCUAAAACGAGUCUAAACUUGAAAACCUCAUAACUUUUGAACCGUGAGGAACUACGUCGCCCAUAGCACCAUUUCGGAGAGCCCCAGAAACCAUAAUGGGCGGGUGAAUAGGGGGCGCAAUUUUUCGGGCUCAAAUUCAGCCGUUUUGACCCUCAAACGGGCUGCGGAAAGUUAUGGCACGUAAAAAAGAUCGAAAGCGGAUUCUCAAGGUGUUUUUGAUGCUUUCUUAACGCCGUUAACCUCGAUGCACUUUUUCGCUCGAAACAAAACGGCAAGAAAAUCAUGCGCGCCCCACGGCCUUACACUUGGAUUGGCCGCGAAAAGGAUAUAUAGAAACGAGAGUGAUGUACUGACGGGUGCGAUCAUACCAGCACUAAUGCACCGGAUCCCAUCAGAACUCCGCAGUUAAGCGUGCUUGGGCGAGAGUAGUACUAGGAUGGGUGACCUCCCGGGAAGUCCUCGUGUUGCACCCCUUUUUUUUUAAAUUUUUUUUUAGCCUAAAACGAGUCUAAACUUGAAAACCUCAUAACUUUUGAACCGUGAGGAACUACGUCGCCCAUAGCACCAUUUCGGAGAGCCCCAGAAACCAUAAUGGGCGGGGAAUAGGGGGCGCAAUUUUUCGGGCUCAAAUUCAGCCGUUUUGACCCUCAAACGGGCUGCGGAAAGUUAUGUCACGUAAAAAAGAUCGAAAGCGGAUUCUCAAGGUGUUUUUGAUGCUUUCUUAACGCCGUUAACCUCGAUGCACUUUUUCGCUCGAAACAAAACGGCAAGAAAAUCAUGCGCGCCCCACGGCCUUACACUUGGAUUGGCCGCGAAAAGGAUAUAUAGAAACGAGAGUGAUGUACUGACGGGUGCGAUCAUACCAGCACUAAUGCACCGGAUCCCAUCAGAACUCCGCAGUUAAGCGUGCUUGGGCGAGAGUAGUACUAGGAUGGGUGACCUCCCGGGAAGUCCUCGUGUUGCACCCCUUUUUAUUUUUUAAUUUUUUUUUGCCUAAAACGAGUCUAAACUUGAAAACCUCAUAACUUUUGAACCGUGAGGAACUACGUCGCCCAUAGCACCAUUUCGGAGAGCCCCAGAAACCAUAAUGGGCGGUGAAUAGGGGGCGCAAUUUUUCGGGCUCAAAUUCAGCCGUUUUGACCCUCAAACGGGCUGCGGAAAGUUAUGGCACGUAAAAAAGAUCGAAAGCGGAUUCUCAAGGUGUUUUUGAUGCUUUCUUAACGCCGUUAACCUCGAUGCACUUUUUCGCUCGAAACAAAACGGCAAGAAAAUCAUGCGCGCCCCACGGCCUUACACUUGGAUUGGCCGCGAAAAGGAUAUAUAGAAACGAGAGUGAUGUACUGACGGGUGCGAUCAUACCAGCACUAAUGCACCGGAUCCCAUCAGAACUCCGCAGUUAAGCGUGCUUGGGCGAGAGUAGUACUAGGAUGGGUGACCUCCCGGGAAGUCCUCGUGUUGCACCCCUUUUUUUUUUUAAUUUUUUUUUAGCCUAAAACGAGUCUAAACUUGAAAACCUCAUAACUUUUGAACCGUGAGGAACUACGUCGCCCAUAGCACCAUUUCGGAGAGCCCCAGAAACCAUAAUGGGCGGUGAAUAGGGGGCGCAAUUUUUCGGGCUCAAAUUCAGCCGUUUUGACCCUCAAACGGGCUGCGGAAAGUUAUGGCACGUAAAAAAGAUCGAAAGCGGAUUCUCAAGGUGUUUUUGAUGCUUUCUUAACGCCGUUAACCUCGAUGCACUUUUUCGCUCGAAACAAAACGGCAAGAAAAUCAUGCGCGCCCCACGGCCUUACACUUGGAUUGGCCGCGAAAAGGAUAUAUAGAAACGAGAGUGAUGUACUGACGGGUGCGAUCAUACCAGCACUAAUGCACCGGAUCCCAUCAGAACUCCGCAGUUAAGCGUGCUUGGGCGAGAGUAGUACUAGGAUGGGUGACCUCCCGGGAAGUCCUCGUGUUGCACCCCUUUUUAUUUUUUAAUUUUUUUUUAGCCUAAAACGAGUCUAAACUUGAAAACCUCAUAACUUUUGAACCGUGAGGAACUACGUCGCCCAUAGCACCAUUUCGGAAGCCCAGAAACCAUAAUGGGCGGUGAAUAGGGGGCGCAAUUUUUCGGGCUCAAAUUCAGCCGUUUUGACCCUCAAACGGGCUGCGGAAAGUUAUGGCACGUAAAAAAGAUCGAAAGCGGAUUCUCAAGGUGUUUUUGAUGCUUUCUUAACGCCGUUAACCUCGAUGCACUUUUUCGCUCGAAACAAAACGGCAAGAAAAUCAUGCGCGCCCCACGGCCUUACACUUGGAUUGGCCGCGAAAAGGAUAUAUAGAAACGAGAGUGAUGUACUGACGGGUGCGAUCAUACCAGCACUAAUGCACCGGAUCCCAUCAGAACUCCGCAGUUAAGCGUGCUUGGGCGAGAGUAGUACUAGGAUGGGUGACCUCCCGGGAAGUCCUCGUGUUGCACCCCUUUUUAUUUUUUAAUUUUUUUUUAGCCUAAAACGAGUCUAAACUUGAAAACCUCAUAACUUUUGAACCGUGAGGAACUACGUCGCCCAUAGCACCAUUUCGGAAGCCCCAGAAACCAUAAUGGGCGGUGAAUAGGGGGCGCAAUUUUUCGGGCUCAAAUUCAGCCGUUUUGACCCUCAAACGGGCUGCGGAAAGUUAUGGCACGUAAAAAAGAUCGAAAGCGGAUUCUCAAGGUUGUUUUGAUGCUUUCUUAACGCCGUUAACCUCGAUGCACUUUUUCGCUCGAAACAAAACGGCAAGAAAAUCAUGCGCGCCCCACGGCCUUACACUUGGAUUGGCCGCGAAAAGGAUAUAUAGAAACGAGAGUGAUGUACUGACGGGUGCGAUCAUACCAGCACUAAUGCACCGGAUCCCAUCAGAACUCCGCAGUUAAGCGUGCUUGGGCGAGAGUAGUACUAGGAUGGGUGACCUCCCGGGAAGUCCUCGUGUUGCACCCCUUUUUAUUUUUUAAUUUUUUUUUAGCCUAAAACGAGUCUAAACUUGAAAACCUCAUAACUUUUGAACCGUGAGGAACUACGUCGCCCAUAGCACCAUUUCGGAAGCCCCAGAAACCAUAAUGGGCGGUGAAUAGGGGGCGCAAUUUUUCGGGCUCAAAUUCAGCCGUUUUGACCCUCAAACGGGCUGCGGAAAGUUAUGGCACGUAAAAAAGAUCGAAAGCGGAUUCUCAAGGUGUUUUUGAUGCUUUCUUAACGCCGUUAACCUCGAUGCACUUUUUCGCUCGAAACAAAACGGCAAGAAAAUCAUGCGCGCCCCACGGCCUUACACUUGGAUUGGCCGCGAAAAGGAUAUAUAGAAACGAGAGUGAUGUACUGACGGGUGCGAUCAUACCAGCACUAAUGCACCGGAUCCCAUCAGAACUCCGCAGUUAAGCGUGCUUGGGCGAGAGUAGUACUAGGAUGGGUGACCUCCCGGGAAGUCCUCGUGUUGCACACCUUUUUAUUUUAUAAUUUUUUUUAGCCUAAAACGAGUCUAAACAUGAAAACCUCAUAAAUUUUGAACCGUGAGGAACUACGUCGCCCAUAGCACCAUUGAAAAAGCCCCAGAAACCAUAAUGGGCGGUGAAUAGGGGGCGCAAUGUUUCGGGCUGAAAUUCAGCCGUUUUGACCCUCAAACGGGCUGCGGAAAGUUAUGGCACGUAAAAAAGAUCGAAAGCGGAUUCUCAAGGUGUUUUUGAUGCUUUCUUAACGCCGUUAACCUCGAUGCACUUUUUCGCUCGAAACAAAACGGCAAGAAAAUCAUGCGCGCCCCACGGCCUUACACUUGGAUUGGCCGCGAAAAGGAUAUAUAGAAACGAGAGUGAUGUACUGACGGGUGCGAUCAUACCAGCACUAAUGCACCGGAUCCCAUCAGAACUCCGCAGUUAAGCGUGCUUGGGCGAGAGUAGUACUAGGAUGGGUGACCUCCCGGGAAGUCCUCGUGUUGCACCCCUUUUUAUUUUUUAAUUUUUUUUUAGCCUAAAACGAGUCUAAACUUGAAAACCUCAUAACUUUUGAACCUUGAGGAACUACGUCGCCCAUAGCACCAUUUCGGAAAGCCCCAUAAAACCAUAAUGGGCGGUGAAUAGGGGGCGCAAUUUUUCGGGCUCAAAUUCAGCCGUUUUGACCCUCAAACGGGCUGCGGAAAGUUAUGGCACGUAAAAAAGAUCGAAAGCGGAUUUUCAAGGUGUUUUUGAUGCUUUCUUAACGCCGUUAACCUCGAUGCACUUUUUCGCUCGAAACAAAACGGCAAGAAAAUCAUGCGCGCCCCACGGCCUUACACUUGGAUUGGCCGCGAAAAGGAUAUAUAGAAACGAGAGUGAUGUACUGACGGGUGCGAUCAUACCAGCACUAAUGCACCGGAUCCCAUCAGAACUCCGCAGUUAAGCGUGCUUGGGCGAGAGAGUAGUACUAGGAUGGGUGACCUCCCGGGAAGUCCUCGUGUUGCACCCCUUUUUAUUUUUUAAUUUUUUUUUAGCCUAAAACGAGUCUAAACUUGAAAACCUCAUAACUUUUGAACCGUGAGGAACUACGUCGCCCAUAGCACCAUUUCGGAGAGCCCCAGAAACCAUAAUGGGCGGUGAAUAGGGGGCGCAAUUUUUCGGGCUCAAAUUCAGCCGUUUUGACCCUCAAACGGGCUGCGGAAAGUUAUGGCACGUAAAAAAGAUCGAAAGCGGAUUCUCAAGGUGUUUUUGAUGCUUUCUUAACGCCGUUAACCUCGAUGCACUUUUUCGCUCGAAACAAAACGGCAAAAAAAAUCAUGUGGGCCCCACGGCCUUACACUUGGAUUGGCCGCGAAAAGGAUAUAUAGAAACGAGAGUGAUGUACUGACGGGUGCGAUCAUACCAGCACUAAUGCACCGGAUCCCAUCAGAACUCCGCAGUUAAGCGUGCUUGGGCGAGAGUAGUACUAGGAUGGGUGACCUCCCGGGAAGUCCUCGUGUUGCACCCCUUUUUAUUUUUUAAUUUUUUUUUUUGCCUAAAACGAGUCUAAACUUGAAAACCUCAUAACUUUUGAACCGUGAGGAACUACGUCGCCCAUAGCACCAUUUCGGAAAGCCCCAGAAACCAUAAUGGGCGGUGAAUAGGGGGCGCAAUUUUUCGGGCUCAAAUUCAGCCGUUUUGACCCUCAAACGGGCUGCGGAAAGUUAUGGCACGUAAAAAAGAUCGAAAGCGGAUUCUCAAGGUGUUUUGAUGCUUUCUUAACGCCGUUAACCUCGAUGCACUUUUUCGCUCGAAACAAAACGGCAAGAAAAUCAUGCGCGCCCCACGGCCUUACACUUGGAUUGGCCGCGAAAAGGAUAUAUAGAAACGAGAGUGAUGUACUGACGGGUGCGAUCAUACCAGCACUAAUGCACCGGAUCCCAUCAGAACUCCGCAGUUAAGCGUGCUUGGGCGAGAGUAGUACUAGGAUGGGUGACCUCCCGGGAAGUCCUUGUGUUGCACCCCUUUUAAUUUUUUAAUUUUUUUUUAGCCUAAAACGAGUCUAAACUUGAAAACCUCAUAACUUUUGAACCGUGAGGAACUACGUCGCCCAUAGCACCAUUUCGGAGAGCCCCAGAAACCAUAAUGGGCGGUGAAUAGGGGCGCAAUUUUUCGGGCUCAAAUUCAGCCGUUUUGACCCUCAAACGGGCUGCGGAAAGUUAUGGCACGUAAAAAAGAUCGAAAGCGGAUUCUCAAGGUGCUUUUGAUGCUUUCUUAACGCCGUUAACCUCGAUGCACUUUUUCGCUCGAAACAAAACGGCAAGAAAAUCAUGCGCGCCCCACGGCCUUACACUUGGAUUGGCCGCGAAAAGGAUAUAUAGAAACGAGAGUGAUGUACUGACGGGUGCGAUCAUACCAGCACUAAUGCACCGGAUCCCAUCAGAACUCCGCAGUUAAGCGUGCUUGGGCGAGAGUAGUACUAGGAUGGGUGACCUCCCGGGAAGUCCUCGUGUUGCACCCCUUUUAUUUUUUAAUUUUUUUUUGCCUAAAACGAGUCUAAACUUGAAAACCUCAUAACUUUUGAACCGUGAGGAACUACGUCGCCCAUAGCACCAUUUCGGAGAGCCCCAGAAACCAUAAUGGGCGGUGAAUAGGGGGCGCAAUUUUUCGGGCUCAAAUUCAGCCGUUUUGACCCUCAAACGGGCUGCGGGGAAAGUUAUGGCACGUAAAAAAGAUCGAAAGCGGAUUCUCAAGGUGCUUUUGAUGCUUUCUUAACGCCGUUAACCUCGAUGCACUUUUUCGCUCGAAACAAAACGGCAAGAAAAUCAUGCGCGCCCCACGGCCUUACACUUGGAUUGGCCGCGAAAAGGAUAUAUAGAAACGAGAGUGAUGUACUGACGGGUGCGAUCAUACCAGCACUAAUGCACCGGAUCCCAUCAGAACUCCGCAGUAAGCGUGCUUGGGCGAGAGUAGUACUAGGAUGGGUGACCUCCCGGGAAGUCCUCGUGUUGCACCCCUUUUUAUUUUUUAAUUUUUUUUUAGCCUAAAACGAGUCUAAACUUGAAAACCUCAUAACUUUUGAACCGUGAGGAACUACGUCGCCCAUAGCACCAUUUCGGAAAGCCCCAGAAACCAUAAUGGGCGGUGAAUAGGGGGCGCAAUUUUUCGGGCUCAAAUUCAGCCGUUUUGACCCUCAGACGGGCUGCGGAAAGUUAUGGCACGUAAAAAAGAUCGAAAGCGGAUUCUCAAGUGUUUUGUGUGCUUUCUUAACGCCGUUAACCUCGAUGCACUUUUUCGCUCGAAACAAAACGGCAAGAAAAUCAUGCGCGCCCCACGGCCUUACACUUGGAUUGGCCGCGAAAAGGAUAUAUAGAAACGAGAGUGAUGUACUGACGGGUGCGAUCAUACCAGCACUAAUGCACCGGAUCCCAUCAGAACUCCGCAGUUAAGCGUGCUUGGGCGAGAGUAGUACUAGGAUGGGUGACCUCCCGGGAAGUCCUCGUGUUGCACCCCUUUUUUUUUUUAAUUUUUUUUUAGCCUAAAACGAGUCUAAACUUGAAAACCUCAUAACUUUUGAACCGUGAGGAACUACGUCGCCCAUAGCACCAUUUCGGAAAGCC